AGCGAACGCUGGCGGCAGGCCUAACACAUGCAAGUCGAACGAAGCCUUCGGGCUUAGUGGCGGACGGGUGAGUAACACGUUGGAACGUACCUUUUGGUUCGGAACGACUCAGGGAAACUUGAGCUAAUACCGGAUGAGCCCUUAGGGGGAAAGAUUUAUCGCCGAAAGAGCGGCCCGCGUUAGAUUAGCUAGUUGGUGAGGUAAAGGCUCACCAAGGCUACGAUCUAUAGCUGGUCUGAGAGGAUGAUCAGCCACACUGGGACUGAGACACGGCCCAGACUCCUACGGGAGGCAGCAGUGGGGAAUCUUGCGCAAUGGGCGAAAGCCUGACGCAGCCAUGCCGCGUGAAUGAUGAAGGUCUUAGGAUUGUAAAAUUCUUUUACCAGGAACGAUAAUGACGGUACCUGGAGAAAAAGCCCCGGCUAACUUCGUGCCAGCAGCCGCCGUAACAC
rnacentral:rRNA from 1 species